ACAGAAAACCACCGCAUCAACCCUUGGUCUUUAAAUAUGGCCAGGGGUCUGGGAUGUAGGAGAUUCUGGAAGAGCCAUCGCUUCCAGGGAAGGCAAAUCCUGAGAACUCAGGUCUCCAGAAGAGGGAGAAGGCUCUCGGGGAGGGGAAUCUCUGUAGGGCAAGGAACGCAGGCCUCUUUCCAUGUGUUGAGGGAAUUCUGACUUCUCAACUUCAGUCUCUGGCUUUGGGGGUUUUGAACACUGCAUCCAGGCAUGAGACCCCUGUCCUGAGACAGCCACUUUUUUCCAAAGGUAACAUAAAGCCUGUGAUUUUUAAUAUUCCUCAAAUAUUGAUCCUCUUUACUUUUUGGGCCAGACCAACCUUUUUAAGUGGACAUGACCAUAAAAGAAAGGACUGUUUUCCCAUGUGUCUUGGUUGAGCAAACUUACUACCACAGCUAUCUACAUACUUGGGAGAGAUAAGGGCCCUUAGUAAGCUAUUGAGUGGGCAUUUCAUAUUGUCAUUACAGUGUUGUAGAUCCAAUGUUGCAUGCUAGACUUACAUAUAAACAUUUUGUGCAUUAAAAGCACUUGAGACCUUUUUUCAUGUUUUUAUUACAUUUGGACCUUUAAGAAACAUAUCAUCAGAUAAUCCACUAUUCAGUAAAAGUCUAUUUUAGUUUUCUGAAGUAGAUGUGUCACAAACUACCUUGCUUCUAGUCUCCACGACACCGCGUUUCACACAAUGGCAGGCUCUACGCAAUGGAAUCCUGAGUCUUGAGGUUUAGACAAUUUUCAAGUGGAUAAACGUGAUUCUGAGCUGUUUUUAUUUUGGGAUGUGCUGACAUAAUUUUAAACUUGUCUAGUUUGCUACAUCACUCAACUCCUGAAGCUUUGUAAUGUAUUGUCUUUGGAAAACCUGGUAAAAAAAAAAAGGUAAUAUUUUCCCUCUAUACAAUAAAGACAAAUUUACCACAACA